UGGGCUACAUAGUGCUAUUUUUAUUUCUCUAUUUCCUUUUGACUCCAUAUCUAAUUUUCAUUCUUGGUAUGGGCAAAAAAAAAAAAAAAAAAGCCAAGAAAACGCAAUAAAUGGACUAAUUUCACUUUACCACCAUAGUCUUGCCUCACUGCUCCACUUGAGUGUGGUUUACGGUAAGUGACGUGACUCACUUUACUGUCUCUUACGGUAAUUGGUACGUUACGUCACUCAUGUUCUGGCUGGCCAUCACCAGAGAGACGCCUGGCUCACUUACGGCAUUUGUCCUGCUGUGUCCGUCCUCUUGACACGCAAACUGUCUCAGCCUUUCAAGUAAGUACAGGAAUAAUCUUCACUGAUGGAGUGAUGCGGCCUUGUUCAGAGUCACUGCCGAGCUGCUAUCAGCCCACACCGCGCUGACCUUUGCACCCACUCAGCUUUACAGCGGCCGCACAGACAGUGGAAACCUCUAGCCCGGUGGGCUUGAAGUGUCCCCGGUGUUUGCUGCUGCCCUGCUCCCUGCGUGAGGUCCGCACACUUCCUGACUGCGCGACCUCUGAACCCAUCACUGCCCUCCACCCUCAACUCAACAGGAGCCACAGCUAAAGAUUUUCCCACCAGAUUGCUCGGAGUGACGGCUGCGGUCUUGAAACGCUCCACCCCACCACCACCAACCCCCCAUCUCUUGGGACUCUGGAUGGAGGAAUGUGGCAGGCUUUGGAAGAAGAUGAGCCUGCAGCUCAACGCCCUCCUCCCUCCCAGCACUCCCUGUCUGCUCGCCCUCUCCUAGUCACGCACAGCUAAUCCCAGGCAUCUACUGAGUACUGACCGUAUCUGCUGAUACUGCGUGGGAAGCUGGCUGAGGAUGGGAUAUUGAAGGAGGACAUCUGUUUGGGCACCAAGGCCACCACGCAGCGCUCAGACACCUGGAAGACAAAGUCAACCUACCGCCUUGGUGCACUGCACGUCCUUUCCCAGCAGCCAGUGCAGCUCCAGGUUCCCCUCUCCCUGGUAGCAGGACUGCAGCCGCUCCUUGAUGCGUGUAUUGAUGUCUUGGAUGGUGAAGACGCAGAGAGCGGAGUGAUCCGGGGGGUCGUGGCACUGCUUCUGUCCCUUGGAGAACACGGCGAAGAGCACGUCCUCCUGGGCGCUGAUGUUAAGCGACUUUGCCAGAACCCUGCCGGCCUUGGAUAGAGGCGGAUGAUGCGGGAAGUGUAAAACAGGUCGCCAGGUGAGCCGCCAGCGGGCAUCCCGUUCUCGGGCGUCUCCGGCUGGACAGUCAUAAAGUAGACGAAGCUGCCGCUGGCGAAGCCGUAGAU